GUUCCUAAGCGACUGCUACUAGAUGCCCAUUUUCACACCGGGCAUUCCCGUGGCUGUUUUGUUCAUUAGCACUUUGGCUAAUAGCUGCUAAAUUCCGGGUGUACCAGAGGCACUGCCUCAAUUACCGGCAGCUCCUUCUGAAUGGGGGAAGGAAAAUGGCUGGAAGAAAGGUGAGAACAGGCAAGUAAGGCAAGAUAUACCUUCACUUAUUCCAAAGUUCCAGUAUACCUUGAAGUCAUGAGGUGGCAUUGUGAAUUAAUUGAGGAGGCAAGAUGUAUGUGAAUCUUGCGGGUUUUCUUCUUAGUUAUCAGGUUUGAAGUUUGUCGUGAGAAGACUGUAGACACGGCAGUUAAACGGCACCAACAGGUACUUGUCGGUCGAUCCAUGGAAGUCAUAGUGAAAGAGCAAGGAAGAACUAUGGAACUUCUGGGUUAUUCUUUGCUAACCUUAUCAGUGACCAUUGUUUUAAAUAACACGAACAUUUGAGAUUCAGAAUUCUGAAAAAAACUCUUAUCUUGGACUUGCUGGGGGCAAGACUUA